AUGAAACUAUCUAGAUAGAUUACAUAAGGAAAACCAAGUAUAUCUGGACAAAUAAUAAUAAUGUAUUCUUGAAGGGGAUAAAUAUAAAAGAUAUUGCAUUCAAUUUACAAAGUUGCUGCUUAAAAUUGAUAGGUUGCUUGUACUGGAAAAUAGGGCACCUGUAAUCUUUUCAAGUUGGAACCUGUGUUCAUGGGUAGCCUAUUAGUUUCAUCUGUGAAGAAGCCUUGAACCCAUUUGGAGUUCCCAGCUGAGGCUCUGAUUUCUGAGGAUGCAAUUACAGUGUGUCCUGCUGAAGACUGCUACUGAUCAAGUGGGCUUGUUGUCCUCAGCAGCUACAGAGCAUCUGUGCAUGGCAUCAUGCCAGUGCCACCUGUCCUCACUGAAGGCAAGGGUAAUUGGACUUGCACAAUCAAUAUGGAGCAACUGAUAAUGUGGAGUGACAGAUUUUGACACUGGGUUGGAUCCAGAGGUGCCCUUCUGGAAGUAGAAGGCCUUUUCCUGACUUUUCUUUGCAUGAGAAAAGAGAACUAAAAUCCAGUGGUGUGCUUCUGUUAGGACAAGAAUUGCUUGGGAGCCAUCCUAACAUUCUGUGGAGGGCAACCGAGUGGCUAUAGGAUGCCACAGAAAGUUUCUCUUUGCAGUUAGAGAGGGAGGACUGUGGUCAUAGGAGGAGAUCUUCCACCAGAGGCUUCCUCAUUGCAGUGGUGGAAAGUUCUGGUGCCACUGGUGCUUUAACACAAAGACCAAGGUGGCAGCAUACUUGUGGUUCACAGGCAGUUUCCCAUUCUGUCACUGACCAGACCAGAUGUGCUUACCUUCGCCAAGGUGGUGACCUCAUGUGCCUUCAGACCAUAAUCUUCUGUUGGUAAACAUCCCCCACUACUCUGCUGCCACACUCUGGGCCAACUGAAGUUUCUGCAUUGCCUUUAUGGAUAACCCCAUGAGUACUGCAUUACAGUAGUCCUGUCAAGAUGGUAACUAGGUGUAACAGAAGGGCAACACUCAUGGUGAUCUUGUGAAGCUGAGAAGUACCAUUCAUGUUAUUUACUUCUGGAUAGCAUCACCACCACUUCUCCUCUAAAAACCACCAAAUUUGGGGUUGGGGGAGAAAUUCAAGCCUUAUGGUGAUUGUGAAGAUCCAAGAAGGAGGAAUACUUUUAGCAAAUUCUCACUUGUUUACAAGCAGCCAGAAUCCAACCUGUAAUCCCCAGUUCCUCUACUUAUCCUGAAUGGCAAGUGAGUGGGAGAAAUUUUAGGCUGUAGGACAUUUGAUCAUACAAUCAGAGGCUCAGUUUAAUUUUUUUUUAAUUCAAAGGAUUCCAUAUAAAGGAAGCAGAGAAAUAGCAACUACAUAAAAAGAAAGUAAAUCAGUGGUAGUGCAGUUCUUAACCUAAAGACCAUUACAAUCACAACUUAAUUCAAUAGACUUGCAGCCUCCAAUGAUGAGGGAUGAUUUCAGGACCUGAUCCUGAGCAGCUUCAGUUGAACAGAAAUGGAAAUAGAGAGAGCCCAUCUCAAGCUAUUUCUUUUUAAAAUGAUUUCCAGAAGGGGGGAUGGAUAGGCAAAUGGGUCAGCAGCAGCAGCACCAGCAGCAGCCAGUCAGAGAGGAUUUUGGUUCAUUCAGUCUGCACUGAAUUUCAGGUGAAAAAUAGUAUCUGGCAGGGCCAGGGAAAUAAUCAAGAAAAGGUGUAAAGUGGAGAUUUUUCUCUUUUCUUCCUGCCAGACGUUUCUUUGUGUAUUGGGCAGUACAGCAACAGCUCAGUGCCUACGUCAGGGAUGGGGAACCUGCAGCCCUCUAGAUGUUGUUGGACUCGCACACCUAUCAGUCCCUGCCAGCAUGGCCAAUGGUCAGGGUUGAUGGGAUUGAGAAUACAGCAACAUCUGGAGAGUCACAGAUAUGGAAAUGGACUGCCUUCAUGUCGAUCCCGACUUAUGGUGACCCUUUGAAUAGGGUUUUCAUGGUAAGUGGUAUUCAGAGGGGGUUUACUAUUGCCUCCCUCGGAGGCUGAGAGGCAGUGACUGUCCUGUUCAGAGCGGGAUUCACGAGGCUGAGACGCAGGUGCAAUCAAAUCUUGUUUUAUUAAAGUAAUGGAUACAUCAAAAGCAGUGCGCUUCAUAGAAAUCUCUAAGUUAGCUCACUAGAAGUCCCUAACUGCACUCUAGACAUGCUCUGCAACACGUGUAGAAAGUUAACUCAGCAAUGUAACCCAGAGAGCUGCAGUCUUAAGUAGGGAAAGUUUUAGAUCGUAAUCUCUGACUCCUUCGCAAAUCCUGCCUCUGUCCUGUCUGCUUCUCAUGGCAUUGAGAGUGGGGUGACGGGGUGUGUGCUUCCAACGGCUCGUCCGAAAGAACCGUCUCCUUAGCAAAUGGCUCGAGGUCAGGGGGCAGUGAUGUGCUUGGGGCAUCUCAAGAACCACUUGGUAAAGGGGGAGUCAUCACCCCCUCUGUGACAUCUUCCAAUGGCUCCUCCAACCUGUCUGGGGGCGGCGCGCUCUCCGCUUCCAAGACCGUGCCAUCCGUGGGAAUUGGCCCGGAGUCAAACUCACUCCCCCUUCCAAGGUCUUGCUCAGACUCAACAAUUCCUUGGUCUUCCGUGCCCUCUGACAGCUGGGAAACCUGGAACUCAUGUCUCCCCCCCUCCCUGGCCCUCGUGAGGCAGCGGAGGCUCAACAGAGACUGGUCCAAGGUCAGCCAGUGAGCUUCAUGGAUGUUGGGGAUUCGAACCCUGGUCUCCCAGGUCGUAGUCAAGCACCCUAACCGCUACACCACACUGGCUCUCACAGAUAUGGACAGAGGAGGAAUUGAUUUUAAAUGGAUUUAUAUAUGAAAUCUGGUGGUUCCAUCACAAUCGAGCUUUGCCUGCAUUAGAUUGCCUCUUGCAUCAAGCUCCUGCUUAUGUCCAAGCUGUUCAUGUAUUUUUUAAAAGCCUGACUAUAUGCAAAAUUAUACACAAAAAUAUGUAUUUUAUUCAGUACUAUAUUUUUGCAGCAUAAUUC